UGACCUACAGGCCUGUGCCUUAAUUAAAGCUAUUAGUGUAGACAGCUAAUGACAAGCCGGCAUUCUCAGGCCUUUGCCAGUUUCAAACUUGCCUGAAUUGGAGGAUGGAGCCACCGAUCUAUACCUGGUGCUCACGGCAAGACCAGGUUCUCACCUAAGUGACUGGUCAGUCACUCUUGAAGGUAGAAACAGAAUCCUGCCAGGCAGGCAAAGCGAGGAAAGUGUUCUAUUUUUUCACACCAAUAAUUGGGCCACAGUGACCUCCUGUCUCAGCCUCAGCCUCCUGGGACCAAGUCAUGUGCUCCCUUGCCUUGGCCUUUGCUCCAUUCUGAGGACAUCGCAGAGUAGUGACAUCAUUAACAGCUAGGAUAAGCUAGAGACUUGGAGGGUGUUCUGAAGUGUUCUGAAAAGAAGAAAAGAAUGGCCAAGAAGCACAGAAGAAAAACGGCCAGCUUUACCAGUCAGCAAGUCAGCACAAAUUAAACCACACAGAGGCACAGCUUCAUGCCUGUCAAAAUGGCUGUCCCCAGAAGGAUGCAGCAGCAGCCAGAAGCGGGCACCUAGGGGGCAAAACCUGGAACGCUUCAGGAGCACCUCGAGGCUUGCAAGAAACAGAGCGCGUGCACACACCAGACGGGAAGGGUAUGCAACGCCACCAGCCACAUUCCCCGGCUCGGGGAACAUGGUCAAGCGAGACACGACUGAAGUGAAACACGUAAGGGCAACCGGGCGCCUGACGCGUCCACAAGGACCACGCGAACCACUGAGAAAAGUGCGCGCGGGUCAGCGCUCGGGCCAGAGAGCCGCACCCCUGCCUUCCACACACCACCGGCAUACGGAUGGGAUGGAGAGACGAGGGGCCCGCUGGCAGAACGAGAAGAGUGACCGCCAUUCGCCAUGAAUGUCCGUCCCUCGCCUGGCGCGGCUUAGACCCUGGCCCGAAGAGAACUCAGGAGCACCACAUCGAUCAUAUUAGUGCCAUUAAGGUGGGGUCCGAUCUGCAUUGGAAUAAGAGGGAUGCCCUCCAUGCAAGACACCACUCAAGCAAGCCUCCAGCCAUGAAAGACGAAGAGCUAAGGAAUACUCUGCCCCUGGAAAGGAACAACAAACAAAAGCUGCAGCAAAUGUGUUUCGGGGUAGCCAAGGUCCAGCCCAUCCUGGGAGAUGAAGCUGCCUUAGUGCUGGCCUUAGGGUUAAGAAGAACACAAAAGUAAAGGGGGCCAUGGAAUCGUGCCCUGUGGUUACAGAGCGCUACUGAGGCCAGGCAUAUAGCAGGGAAGGCCCUGCAUGAAACACCCGAGAAGCCGUUGCAUGAAGCUGUGAAGCCUGGGUAUGUACGUUGGAGACAGCAACAUAUGUGGGACCCCAAUAUAUGGGGUGCCCGAGCUGGGAGACAUCUGCCAAGGAGAGCUGCACAGGAGGUGGGACCAGCCCAAGAGAAAGAGAUGUAUCUUGGAGGCAGCAAAGCUGGAAGGGUGGAGCCACUGAAGGCCUUUGACAUCAGACAGAGUUCCAGGAUUCAGAGUUGCCCUGUUGGGUGUUGGUCUUGUGUUGGUACAGCGUUUCCUUGCUAUUACCCAAUUACUAGCUUUUGGAAUGGUAAUGUAUGUUCUAUGCUAUCGUAUGUUGAAAGUGCAUACUUUUUUUUAUUUUAUAGGGGGUUACAGUACAGAUAUUGCCUUGAAUCUCAGCAGAAAAUUGGACAGUGGAGUUUGUUGGGAUUAUGAAAGACUACAGGGAUUUUUGAAGUUGGAUUAAAUGCAUUUUGUCUUAUGAUGUAGCCAUGAGACUAUGGAGGCCAGGAGGGAAAGGUGUGGGUUUGAAUGAGAUGUCCCCCAUAUUCUUAGGUCUCUGAAUACUUGGUUCUCAGUUGGUGACAGUGGGUAGGUUUAGGAAGUAUGGCUUUGCUGGAAGAAAUUUGUCACCAAAGGGCAGGGUUUGAGCUUUCAAAGGCCAUGUGAUGCUCUCAGUGCUCUCUCUCUCUCUCUCUCUCUCUCUCUCUCUCUCUCUCUCCAUGUCUCUUUCCUUCUGUCUCCAUGCCUCUCUGUGUCUGUCUCUUCUCUCUCUGUCUCUCUUUAUCUCUCUGUCUUUUGUGUCUGUCUCUCUGUGUCUCUGUCUCUCCUCUCUAAGUCUUUCUGUGUGUCUCUGUCUGUCUGUCCCUCUGUGUGUGUGUCUGUCUCUCCCUUUCUCUGUCUUUCUCUCUGUCUCUCUGACUAUCUCUCUGUCUCUGUCUCUCUCUGCUCCCUAUUUGCAGUUUGCUCCUGCCACCUGCUACCUCUGCUCUGCAAUCACGAACUUAUCCCCCUAAAACUAUAACCCAAAUAACCCCUUUCUUCUCUAAGUAGCCUUGGUCGUGAUGUUUUGUCAUAGCAAUAGAAAAGUAAGACACAGCGUGUAAGUGUAACACACAGCGUGUAAGUCAGGCUGCUUUGAUUUCACAUUUGUUGGAAGUGAGCUACAGAGCAACUUUGCAUUCUGGGAGCAGUUAUCCGAUGAGUUUAAUAAAUAAUCCACUUAAGCCAGCCAUUAGAAACUA